AACGAACGCUGGCGGCAUGCCUAACACAUGCAAGUCGAACGAGACCUUCGGGUCUAGUGGCGCAAGGGUGCGUAACGCGUGGGAACCUGCCCUUAGGUUCGGAAUAACUCCCCGAAAGGGGUGCUAAUACCGGAUAAUGUCUUCGGACCAAAGAUUUAUCGCCUUUGGAUGGGCCCGCGUUGGAUUAGCGUGUUGGUAGGGUAAAAGCCUACCAAGGCGACGAUGCAUAGCUGGUCUGAGAGGAUGAACAGCCACACUGGGACUGAGAUACGGCCCAGACGCGUACGGGAGGCAGCAGUGGGGAAGCGUGCACAAUGGGCGGGAGCCUGAGGCAGCGACGCCGCGUGGGGGAUGACGGCCUUCGGGGUGUAAACGCCUUUCGACCGCGAGGAAGCCACCUGGUUGGAAGGGUGGGGACGGUAGUGGUAGAAGAAGCACCGGCUACCUACGUG
rnacentral:rRNA from 1 species